GAUGAACGCUGGCGGCGUGCCUAAUACAUGCAAGUCGAGCGAACAGAUGAGGAGCUUGCUCCUCUGACGUUAGCGGCGGACGGGUGAGUAACACGUGGAUAACCUACCUAUAAGACUGGGAUAACUUCGGGAAACCGGAGCUAAUACCGGAUAAUAUAUUGAACCGCAUGGUUCAAUAGUGAAAGACGGUUUUGCUGUCACUUAUAGAUGGAUCCGCGCCGCAUUAGCUAGUUGGUAAGGUAACGGCUUACCAAGGCAACGAUGCGUAGCCGACCUGAGAGGGUGAGCGGCCACACGGGAACUGAGACAGGGCCCAGACCCCAGCGGGAGGCAGAAGGGGGGAAUCUUCCACAAGGGGCGAAAGCCUGAGGGAGAAACGCCGGGGGAGUGAUGAAGGUCUUCGGAUCGAAAACCUCUUUUAUGAGGAAAGAAAAAAUGUGUAAGAAAAUAGGCGGGUCUUGACGGUACUUAAUAAAAAAGCCAGGGCUAACUACGUC
rnacentral:rRNA from 1 species